rnacentral:rRNA from 1 species
UACGGAGGGUGCAAGCGUUAUCCGGAAUCAUUGGGUUUAAAGGGCCGCAGGCGGUCAAUUAAGUCGAGGUGAAAUUCCCACAGCUUAACUGUGGAACUGCCUUUGAUACUGGUUGACUUGAGUUAUACGGAAGUAGAUAGAAUAUGUAGUGUAGCGGUGAAAUGCAUAGAUAUUACAUAGAAUACCGAUUGCGAAGGCAGUCUACUACGUAUAUACUGACGCUCAUGGACGAAAAC